rnacentral:lncRNA from 1 species
AAAUGCAACUUAGACCACGAGAAAUUAGUCUUACGACUGUUUCCUGAGGUGAAUCUGGAGAUCUGAAUUAGAACUGAUUGCUCCAAAUCUUGGUUUUACCGAAAGAAUAUCUAGGAAGAUGGCUGCCGAGGAUGGUAGGUCAAACUGAACUGCCUCAAUGCUGCUGAUCACGAAGUUUAAAUCUGAAUGAAUCCUGCUAAAUGGUGCGAUCUCAAAUCAUGUUAUGUCGAAGCUUCGAUCUGAUGUAUUUCUUGGGAAGCUGCAGAGUCUAAAGACGUCCACUCUGAGGAGGAGAAGGCGUUGAAGGAUGACUUCCAGAGCCUGCGGGAAAUCAUAUCUGAUGAAGGCGGUGCCAAAGG